rnacentral:lncRNA from 1 species
GGCAAUCUUGUCUAUGUUGGGGAAAAAUUUCAGCCCUUGAUUCAGUUGGGAAGCAUCUCAACCGUUGGCUCAAAGUGUGCACCUCGAGCUGCCAAAUUUGGCAGCUCCAGGCUGUGAACUGCCCGAGGUGGCCACUUUGAGCCACUCACCGGAGCCGUUUAUAACUUUUUCGACCCGACCUGACCAUUCUCCGGGAUAAAGGGGUUUCAUGUGGACAUGUUGGUGUAUGUUGUGUUGGAUUUGGAGGCCACACGAGCCGGAA